AAAGCAUAUCAAUAAGCGGAGGAAAAAGAAACUAACAAGGAUUCCCCUAGUAACUGCGAGUGAAGCGGGAAAAGCUCAAAUUUAAAAUCUGGCGGUCUUUGGCCGUCCGAGUUGUAGUCUGGAGAAGUGCUUUCCGCGCUGGACUGUGUACAAGUCUCUUGGAACAGAGCGUCAUAGAGGGUGAGAAUCCCGUCUUUGACACGGACUACCAGUGCUUUGUGAUGCGCUCUCAAAGAGUCGAGUUGUUUGGGAAUGCAGCUCAAAAUGGGUGGUAAAUUCCAUCUAAAGCUAAAUAUUGGCGAGAGACCGAUAGCGAACAAGUACCGUGAGGGAAAGAUGAAAAGCACUUUGGAAAGAGAGUUAAACAGUACGUGAAAUUGCUGAAAGGGAAACGCUUGAAGUCAGUCGCGUUGGCCAGGACUCAGCCUUGCUUUUCGCUUGGUGCAUUUUCUGGUUGACGGGCCAGCAUCGAUUUUGACCACUGGAAAAAGGCUAGGGGAAUGUGGCACCUUCGGGUGUGUUAUAGCCCUUAGUCACAUACAGUGGUUGGGAUCGAGGACCGCAGCACGCCUUUAUGGCCGGGGUUCGCCCACGUUCGUGCUUAGGAUGCUGGCGUAAUGGCUUUAAACGACCCGUCUUGAAACACGGACCAAGGAGUCUAACAUGCCUGCGAGUGUUUGGGUGGAAAACCCGAGCGCGUAAUGAAAGUGAAAGUUGAGAUCCCUGUCGUGGGGAGCAUCGACGCCCGGACCUGAACUUCGGUGAUGGAUCUGCGGUAGAGCAUGUAUGUUGGGACCCGAAAGAUGGUGAACUAUGCCUGAAUAGGGUGAAGCCAGAGGAAAC
rnacentral:rRNA from 1 species